rnacentral:rRNA from 1 species
GAUGAACGCUGGCGGCGUGCCUAAUACAUGCAAGUCGAGCGAACAGACGAGGAGCUUGCUCCCCUGACGUUAGCGGCGGACGGGUGAGUAACACGUGGAUAACCUACCUAUAAGACUGGGAUAACUUCGGGAAACCGGAGCUAAUACCGGAUAAUAUAUUGAACCGCAUGGUUCAAUAGUGAAAGACGGUUUUGCUGUCACUUAUAGAUGGAUCCGCGCCGCAUUAGCUAGUUGGUAAGGUAACGGCUUACCAGGGCAACGAUGCGUAGCCGACCUGAGAGGGUGAUCGGCCACACUGGAACUGAGACACGGUCCAGACUCCUACGGGAGGCAGCAGUAGGGAAUCUUCCGCAAUGGGCGAAAGCCUGACGGAGCAACGCCGCGUGAGUGAUGAAGGUCUUCGGAUCGUAAAACUCUGUUAUUGGGGAAGAACAAAUGUGUAAGUAACUAUGCACGUCUUGACGGUACCUAAUCAGAAAGCCACGGCUAACUACGUG